rnacentral:rRNA from 1 species
AGAGUUUGAUCCUGGCUCAGAUUGAACGCUGGCGGCAUGCCUUACACAUGCAAGUCGAACGGCAGCGCGGACUUCGGUCUGGCGGCGAGUGGCGAACGGGUGAGUAAUGUAUCGGAACGUGCCCUAGAGUGGGGGAUAACGUAGCGAAAGUUACGCUAAUACCGCAUACGAUCUACGGAUGAAAGUGGGGGACCGCAAGGCCUCACGCUCAUGGAGCGGCCGAUAUCUGAUUAGCUAGUUGGUAGGGUAAAAGCCUACCAAGGCGACGAUCAGUAGCUGGUCUGAGAGGACGACCAGCCACACUGGGACUGAGACACGGCCCAGACUCCUACGGGAGGCAGCAGUGGGGAAUUUUGGACAAUGGGGGAAACCCUGAUCCAGCAAUGCCGCGUGUGUGAAGAAGGCCUUCGGGUUGUAAAGCACUUAUGUCAGGAACGAAACGGUGGGGGCUAAUAUCCUCUGCUAAUGACGGUACCUGAAGAAUAAGCACCGGCUAACUACGUGCCAGCAGCCGCGGUAAUACGUAGGGUGCAAGCGUUAAUCGGAAUUACUGGGCGUAAAGCGUGCGCAGGCGGUUGUGCAAGACAGAUGUGAAAUCCCCGGGCUUAACCUGGGAAUUGCAUUUGUGACUGCACGGCUAGAGUGUGUCAGAGGGGGGUAGAAUUCCACGUGUAGCAGUGAAAUGCGUAGAUAUGUGGAGGAAUACCGAUGGCGAAGGCAGCCCCCUGGGAUAACACUGACGCUCAUGCACGAAAGCGUGGGGAGCAAACAGGAUUAGAUACCCUGGUAGUCCACGCCCUAAACGAUGUCUACUAGUUGUCGGGUCUUAAUUGACUUGGUAACGCAGCUAACGCGUGAAGUAGACCGCCUGGGGAGUACGGUCGCAAGAUUAAAACUCAAAGGAAUUGACGGGGACCCGCACAAGCGGUGGAUGAUGUGGAUUAAUUCGAUGCAACGCGAAAAACCUUACCUACCCUUGACAUGUACGGAACCCUGCUGAGAGGUGGGGGUGCUCGAAAGAGAGCCGUAACACAGGUGCUGCAUGGCUGUCGUCAGCUCGUGUCGUGAGAUGUUGGGUUAAGUCCCGCAACGAGCGCAACCCUUGUCAUUAGUUGCUACGAAAGGGCACUCUAAUGAGACUGCCGGUGACAAACCGGAGGAAGGUGGGGAUGACGUCAAGUCCUUAUGGCACUUAUGGGUAGGGCUUCACACGUCAUACAAUGGUACAUACAGAGGGCCGCCAACCCGCGAGGGGGAGCUAAUCCCAGAAAGUGUAUCGUAGUCCGGAUUGUAGUCUGCAACUCGACUACAUGAAGUUGGAAUCGCUAGUAAUCGCGGAUCAGCAUGUCGCGGUGAAUACGUUCCCGGGUCUUGUACACACCGCCCGUCACACCAUGGGAGCGGGUUUUACCAGAAGUAGGUAGCUUAACCGCAAGGAGGGCGCUUACCACGGUAGGAUUCGUGACUGGGGUGAAGUCGUAACAAGGUAGCCGUAUCGGAAGGUGCGGCUG